rnacentral:rRNA from 1 species
UACGGAGGAUCCGAGCGUUAUCCGGAUUUAUUGGGUUUAAAGGGUGCGCAGGCGGGAGAUUAAGUCGGCGGUGAAAUUUUGCAGCUCAACUGUAAAAGUGCCUUCGAAACUGGUUUCCUUGAGUGUGGAUGAAGUAGGCGGAAUUUGUGGUGUAGCGGUGAGAUGCAUAGAUAUCACGAGGAACUCCGAUUGCGCAGGCAGCUUACUAAACCAUAACUGACGCUCAGGCACGAAGGCGUGGGGAUCAAACAGGAUUAGAUACCCU